GCUCAGCCGAUCACGGGCUGCGAUUGGCUGUGCGCCCACCCAUCCCGCCCAAAGGGGAGAAAAUUCCCCCCUAUAUCUUUGGUAAGACUCAGAAGAAGCCAUAAUCAAAAAGGAAAUUGGGCAGCCUCUUCUGAUACCCUGCAUAACCAAGUAUCUCCAAACCAAAUGCAAAACUGCCAAAGUCAGCUCUAGCAGAAUCACCCAACUUAACGGCCGUAACAUCCCACCAUCUACAUAUCACGGACAAGCCAAAGCCAAAGAUGGCUACUACCAACCAGACAGCCUCAAAAGAGAGAGAGAAGGAUUCCAAUGGUACAGCAUUUGGUGAGGAUGGUCUCUGCAAAGCGCCUUUAUCUUGGAAUCUAUCAACAGUGCAGUUGGAAAGUGAAUCAGGAGCCAUCAACAUACAGCCCUCAGACUUCACAGCAGUGCAUCAGUAAUUGGACAAUUUAGUCAUCAUGAAGUAGAGGAAUUCAGGUGUGUACUUAUACCCUGGUAAUUCACAUUUCAACACCUUAUAUGAUGCUACUUUUUCACCAAUAAAUUAAAUAAAUCCCUUUGCAAAGUUA